rnacentral:rRNA from 1 species
GAUGAACGCUGGCGGCGUGCCUAAUACAUGCAAGUCGAGCGAACAGACGAUGAUCUUGCUCCGCUGACGUUAGCGGCGGACGGGUGAGUAGCACGUGGAUAACCUACCUAUAAGACUUGGAUAACGUCGGGAAACCGUAGCUAAUACCAGAUAAUAUAUUGAACCGCAUUGUUCGAUAGUGAAAGACGGUUUUGCUGUCACUUAGAGACGGAUCCGCGCCGCAUUAGGGUGUUGGUAUGGUAACGCGUUACCAAGGCAACGAUGCGUAGCCGAGCUGAGAGGGGGAGCGGCCACACUGGAACGGAGGCACGGUCCAGACUGCUAAGAGAGGCAGCAGUAGGGAAGCUUGCGCAAUGGGCGAAAGUCUGACGGAGCAACGCCGCGUGAGGCAUGAAGGUCUUGGGAUCGUAAAACUCUGUUAUGAGGGAAGAACAAAUGUGUAAGUAACUAUGCACGUCUUGACGGUAACUAAUCAGAAAGCCACGGCUAACUUCGUG